rnacentral:lncRNA from 1 species
CCAUUCUUCUUGUGCCACCUCACUUCCACUGUGCCCAUUUGAAUUCACGAGAAGGAAGUUCUCAUAAAUUUUUUCUCACGCAAAGCCCUCCUCACGCCCUACUUUAAUGCACCAAAUGAGUGGAUAAGGAUGAUUGGUUGGCCAUUCAAAUUCAAAACAAAGAUUGAAUUUGAAUGAGCAACCAAUCUUAGCACCUUGACCUUAUCCUCUUUUAGCGCCCCAUUUAUUACAUAAAAAAAUAUUUCUCAUGAAAUCACUUACGCACAAAUUAAGCCAUGCCCUCCUCUUCUCACGCUCUUAGUGGAUAGGGAUAAAUUGGUUUCCAUUUGAAUUUAAAAUUUGAUUUGAAUUCAAAUGUGCAAUUACUCAUCUUUAUCCUCUCACGUGGAUAAGACGUUUGACAUUGUUUUAAAAGGAGGAGAAGUGUGGGGCGUGUGCAAGAAAAAUUUUGAAGAGAAAAUCUGGGCGUGAGAAAUCCUUGUGUACAAGGUGAAGGUCUAUAUCCUUCCAAGAGAAAAAGAAAGAAAAGAAAGAAAAAGUGUGCGCAGGGUUUCAGUGAGUUCUUUAGGGUUUCAGCCUGGAGUUCGGGAAGUGAGAAGGUGAGCUACGAGUGUCGUGAGCCCAUCAAAUUUCAGGAAGAUCUUCAACAUCCUCUCAAGCACGUCUGCUAAUGAUCCAGAGCAUCCAAAAAAUCGACAGACAUCGAUCGAAGGAGUUCGAUCAGCAUCGGC